UCCCGCGGCGUAUUAGUUAGUUGGUGAGGUAAAGGCCCACCAAGACGAUGAUACGUAGCCGACCUGAGAGGGUAAUCGGCCACAUUGGGACUGAGACACGGCCCAAACUCCUACGGGAGGCAGCAGUAGGGAAUCUUCCACAAUGGACGAAAGUCUGAUGGAGCAAUGCCGCGUGAGUGAAGAAGGGUUUCGGCUCGUAAAACUCUGUUGUUAAAGAAGAACACCUUUGAGAGUAACUGUUCUAGGGUUGACGGUAUUUAACCAGAAAGCCACGGCUAACUACGUGCCAGCAGCCGCGGUAAUACGUAGGUGGCAAGCGUUGUCCGGAUUUAUUGGGCGUAAAGCGAGCGCAGGCGGUUUUUUAAGUCUGAUGUGAAAGCCUUCGGCUUAACCGGAGAAGUGCAUCGGAAACUGGGAGACUUGAGUGCAGAAGAGGACAGUGGAACUCCAUGUGUAGCGGUGGAAUGCGUAGAUAUAUGGAAGAACACCAGUGGCGAAGGCGGCGUGUCUAGUCUGUAACUGACGCUGAGGCUCGAAAGCAUGGGUAGCGAACAGGAUUAGAUACCCUGGUAGUCCAUGCCGUAAACGAUGAGUGCUAAGUGUUGGAGGGUUUCCGCCCUUCAGUUCUGCAGCUAACGCAUUAAGCACUCCGCCUGGGGAGUACGACCGCAAGUUUGAAACUCAAAGGAAUUGACGGGGGCCCGCACAAGCGGUGGAGCAUGUGGUUUAAUUCGAAGCUACGCGAAGAACCUUACCAGGUCUUGACAUCUUCUGCCAAUCUUAGAGAUAAGACGUUCCCUUCGGGGACAGAAUGACAGGUGGUGCAUGGUUGUCGUCAGCUCGUGUCGUGAGAUGUUGGGUUAAGUCCCGCAACGAGCGCAACCCUUAUUAUCAGUUGCCAGCAUUCAGUUGGGCACUCUGGUGAGACUGCCGGUGACAAACCGGAGGAAGCGUUGGAUGACGUCAAAUCAUCAUGCCCCUUAUGACCUGGGCUACACACGUGCUACAAUGGACGGUACAACGAGUCGCGAAGUCGUGAGGCUAAGCUAAUCUCUUAAAGCCGUUCUCAGUUCGGAUUGUAGGCUGCAACUCGCCUACAUGAAGUUGGAAUCGCUAGUAAUCGCGGAUCAGCAUGCCGCGGUGAAUACGUUCCCGGGCCUUGUACACACCGCCCGUCACACCAUGAGAGU
rnacentral:rRNA from 2 species